AGUGGCGGACGGGUGAGUAACACGUAAGAAUUUGCCUUUAGGAGGGGGACAACAGAGGGAAACAGCUGCUAAUACCCCAUAUGCUUUCGAGUGAAAUGGAUUUUUCCGCCUAGAGAGAAGCUUGCGGCUGAUUAGCUUGUUGGUAAGGUAAUGGCUUACCAAGGCGACGAUCAGUAUCUGGUUUGAGAGGACGAUCAGACACACUGGAACUGAGACACGGUCCAGACUCCUACGGGAGGCAGCAGUGGGGAAUUUUCCGCAAUGGGCGAAAGCCUGACGGAGCAAUCUCGCGUGAGGGAUGACUGCCUAUGGGUUGUAAACCUCUUUUUUCAGGGAGGAAUCAAUGACGUGUACCUGAAGAAUAAGCAUCGGCUAACUCCGUGCCAGCAGCCGCGGUAAGACGGAGGAUGCAAGUGUUAUCCGGAAUCACUGGGCGUAAAGCGUCUGUAGGUGGUUUAAUAAGUCAACUGUUAAAUCUUGAAGCUCAACUUCAAAAUCGCAGUCGAAACUAUUAGACUAGAGUAUAGUAGGGGUAAAGGGAAUUUCCAGUGGAGCGGCGAAAUGCGUAGAGAUUGGAAAGAACACCGAUGGCGAAGGCACUUUACUGGGCUAUUACUGACACUCAGAGACGAAAGCUAGGGUAGCAAAUGGGAUUAGAUACCCCAGUAGUCCUAGCCGUAAACAAUGGAUACUAGAUGUU
rnacentral:rRNA from 1 species